AUUGAACGCUGGCGGCAGGCCUAACACAUGCAAGUCGAGCGGAUGAAGGGAGCUUGCUCCUGGAUUCAGCGGCGGACGGGUGAGUAAUGCCUAGGAAUCUGCCUGGUAGUGGGGGAUAACGUCCGGAAACGGGCGCUAAUACCGCAUACGUCCUGAGGGAGAAAGUGGGGGAUCUUCGGACCUCACGCUAUCAGAUGAGCCUAGGUCGGAUUAGCUAGUUGGUGGGGUAAAGGCCUACCAAGGCGACGAUCCGUAACUGGUCUGAGAGGAUGAUCAGUCACACUGGAACGGAGACACGGUCAAGACUCCUACGGGAGGCAGCAGUGGGGAAUAUUGGACAAUGGGCGAAAGCCUGAUCCAGCCAUGCCGCGUGUGUGAAGAAGGUCUUCGGAUUGUAAAGCACGUUAAGUUGGGAGGAAGGGCAGUAAGUUAAUACCUUGCUGUUUUGACGUUACCAACAGAAUAAGCACCGGCUAACUUCGUG
rnacentral:rRNA from 1 species